rnacentral:rRNA from 1 species
AUUGAACGCUGGCGGAAUGCUUUACACAUGCAAGUCGAACGGCAGCACGGGGCAACCUGGUGGCGAGUGGCGAACGGGUGAGUAAUACAUCGGAACGUGCCCAAUCGUGGGGGAUAACGUAGCGAAAGCUACGCUAAUACCGCAUACGAUCUACGGAUGAAAGCGGGGAUCGCAAGACCUCGCGCGAAUGGAGCGGCCGAUGGCAGAUUAGGUAGUUGGUGGGGUAAAGGCUCACCAAGCCUGCGAUCUGUAGCUGGUCUGAGAGGACGACCAGCCACACUGGAACUGAGACACGGUCCAGACUCCUACGGGAGGCAGCAGUGGGGAAUUUUGGACAAUGGGCGCAAGCCUGAUCCAGCCAUUCCGCGUGCAGGAUGAAGGCCUCGGGUUGUAAAC